UGCAGGCUGCAACCCGCCCUGCAUGAAGUUGGAAUCGCUAGUAAUCGCGGAUCAGCAUGCCGCGGUGAAUACGUUCCCGGGCCUUGUACACACCGCCCGUCACACCAUGAGAGUCGGGAACACCCGAAGUCCGUAGCCUAACCGCAAGGGGGCGCGGCCGAAGGUGGGUUCGAUAAUUGGGGUGAAGUCGUAACAAGGUACC
rnacentral:rRNA from 1 species